rnacentral:lncRNA from 1 species
GCCGAGUGAAGGAAAGCCCCUUUUAAAACCAUCAGAUCUCGUGAGAACUCACUCAGUAUCAUGAGAACAGCCGGGGGAAAACCGCAUCCGUGAUUCAAUUAUCUCCACCUGAUCCCACCCUUAAAACAUGGGGAUUAUUACAAUUCAAGGUGAGAUUUGGGUAGGGACACAGAGCCAAACCAUAUCAGACCUCAUUAGCCAUAUGACAAAUGGCAAAUUAUGUAACUUCUUGAUAUUUCAGUUUUUCUUCUAUGAAAGGAUUUAUCAGUACUGCCUAUCUCCUAGGGUUGUUGAGAAGAUUAAAUCAGUCAAUAUAUGUAAUGCCUUUAGAACACUGCUCUGCAAAUAGCAAGCACUAUGUACAUGCUAUUUUAUUAGUGGCAUCGGAAAACUGAUUCGGAUCAACAACUUCAUUUUGAAGCUAGCUCUGCAUGACAGCAUUGAAUACAAAUAUCACUGAUGAUGAUGAAUGGAUUGAGGAAUGCGGAAUGCAUUGUACUAAAAGGGUCCAGAAAUUGCCACAAGUCUCUUUUUGAGUCUCAGAGAAGCAAGGCCAUCAUGUAUAAGCCAGGAAUUAUUUUUGUCUGCAAUCAAUCCUUCAGAAGAAUCUCUCACAUCUUCACUUUUGUGCAGUAUGUUAACUAUGAACAAAAUGAUAGUGUAUGUCAGUCAAAUGUAAUACUUAUAUUAAAACCUGAUUAUUAAUGCAGAAGCUCAUGGAAAGUAAGGUUAAUCUGAAUAAUAUAUUAUUUCUCUUAGUCCACAAUCUAUCAUUUCACAAACCAUGGUUAAUAGAAUGACAAAAAUAAAAAGCUUUGUUUAAAUGAAAAUGUAUAAUAUAUUCUUCAUCUCAUUUAUAUCUUAUUGUGUUAGGUAGGCGAACAUAGCUAGUCUGUGAAUGUGAUAAAAAGAAGAUGAUACAUUUCUUUGUUUUAAAAAUCUUAAGUAUUCCUGCUAAAUAGUGAGUUUCCAAAGGCUUGCUAUUAUUUAAAAUAUUGC